rnacentral:tRNA from 1 species
CAACAAAUAGUUUAUAUUAAAAUAUAAUUUUUGGGUAAUUAGGAUAGAUUUUUCUUUUGUUGA